rnacentral:rRNA from 1 species
GUGGGGAAUAUUGCACAAUGGGCGAAAGCCUGAUGCAGCAACGCCGCGUGAGGGACGACGGCCUUCGGGUUGUAAACCUCUUUUAGUAGGGAAGAAGCGAAAGUGACGGUACCUGCAGAAAAAGCACCGGCUAACUACGUGCCAGCAGCCGCGGUAAUACGUAGGGUGUAAGCGUUAUCCGGAAUUAUUGGGCGUAAAGAGCUCGUAGGCGGUCUGUCGCGUCUGCUGUGAAAACUGGAGGCUCAACCUCCAGCCUGCAGUGGGUACGGGCAGACUAGAGUGCGGUAGGGGAGAUUGGAAUUCCUGGUGUAGCGGUGGAAUGCGCAGAUAUCAGGAGGAACACCGAUGGCGAAGGCAGAUCUCUGGGCCGUAACUGACGCUGAGGAGCGAAAGCGUGGGGAGCGAACAGGAUUAGAAACCCGAGUAGUCC